UUGCAUCCACCCCCACCUCCUUUUUCCCAAUCCAUCCAUCUAUUCCAGAUCGAGAGAAAGCUCGUCUCUUUCCUUCCUCUGGCUCCCUCCAGAUCGAGAAAGAGAUCGCCGCCGCCACCUCCCUCUAGCGGAGCUCGCCGCCGUCCAUGGCCUCCCCCACGCCCUCCUGCUCCGCCCGCUCCUCCUCCCUCCACGCCUCCCGCGCGCCAUUGCCGAUUUCCCAAACCAGACCGCCUCCCUGGUUCAUUCAUUCCUCCCCUCCCACCCACCCGCCACGGCACCGCCAUCCAACUUGCCGAUGACCUUACGCAUCGCCGCCGGCCUCCGCUCACUCCCCUCCCACACGCCUGCCGCCCCAACCUCUCCACCUCCCCUUCUCCCCCUACCCCUAGUAGCACCCAGGCCCAACAGCACAUGUGGCGGCCAGAUCCAAGAUCCAGCAAGCCAGCCUGUGCCUCACUAGAGGCGCACACGCAGAGUGAGGUGGGCUUCCCGCGUGCACACGCCAUGGACCUCCGUCACGGGACGCCAACGCGUCUCGUCUGCCCGGCCGCGUCACCAGAUGAUUGCCUGCUUGCUCCCUGCUGACGCCAUCCCGUGCUUGGGACGCCGCGCCCUACCACGCCCCGACGUCCCUCCUCCCUCUCUCCUGCAUCGGCCCCAUCGUCCGUCCCCGAGAUGGAGAGGGUGCUCAAGGAUGAUGCCAUCCAGGAGAAGGGCGAACGGACCUGGGUUGUAACCAGCCCCCUCCCAUCUGAUCUGCUUGUUUUCCUUCUUGGUCUGACUGGGUCGGUUCGUUCGUCCGUUGGUUGGAUGGCGCUGCUGCAACUGUGUGCAAUUAGUAUAUAGUGAUCUCACUUAGACUGCAAAAUCCAUAUCUUUGCCUGAUCUUUGUAUAGGUGGUAUGACUAUAACUGAACCAUAUGUUCUGUUUUAUCAUAUAUAACUGAACCGUGAGUUUGUUUCAUAUUUUAAACCUACAUGAAAGGAAGUGUGCUUGUUGACGAUGGUUAUUGUUGCUGAAUCCAUAUCCUGGUUCAGACUUAUAUUUUGCUAUUCUUAGGUGGCGGGCUUAUACGGCAUCGCGAGCAGGAGGGCCAUGAGGGGUUUGCUGCUCUUCUCCUAGGGCGACCAAGAGGUCCUGCCCCGAGCUCAAGCACGUCCACGCCGACCCACCACGACAGCGAAGUGCGGCUGGACGACUGAGGCUGCUAUUCUGCCUUGAUCUGCACACAAAGAGUUCCUAGACCUAACUUGAAGCAAGGAUACCUGCGGCUGCAAGCCAACAAUAUCUGAAGACGGGUGCUGCUUGUCUAUGUUCUCAGCAUAACUAUAGGCUGCCAUGUCUUCCCCACAUUCCUUUUCGCUUUCUGUAAUGCUAACUUGACAGUCAGCCUAUAGUUAUGCGAAGAACAUCGGCAAGCAGCACCUGUCUUCAGACAUAUGAUAACCCACAAGUAUAAGGGAUCGCAACAGCUUUCGAGGGUAGAGUAUUAAACCCAAAUUUAUUGAUUCGACACAAGGGGAGCCAAAGAAUAUUCUCAAGUAUUAGCAGCUGAGUUCUCAA